ACGAACGCUGGCGGCGUGCCUAAUACAUGCAAGUCGAGCGAAGUUUUUCUGGUGCUUGCACUAGAAAAACUUAGCGGCGAACGGGUGAGUAACACGCAAAGAACCUGCCUCAUAGACUGGGACAACUAUUGGAAACGAUAGCUAAUACCGGAUAACAGCAUUAACUGCAUGGUUGAUGUUUAAAAGUUGGUUUUGCUAACACUAUGAGAUGGCUUUGCGGUGCAUUAGCUAGUUGGUGGGGUAAAGGCCUACCAAGGCGACGAUGCAUAGCCGACCUGAGAGGGUGAUCGGCCACACUGGGACUGAGACACGGCCCAGACUCCUACGGGAGGCAGCAGUAGGGAAUCUUCCGCAAUGGGCGAAAGCCUGACGGAGCAACGCCGCGUGAGUGAAGAAGGAUUUCGGUUCGUAAAGCUCUGCUGUUAGGGAAGAAUGAUUGUGUAGUAACUAUACACAGUAGAGACGGUACCUAACCAGAAAGCCACGGCUAACUACGUG
rnacentral:rRNA from 1 species